rnacentral:rRNA from 1 species
CCUACGGGAGGCAGCAGUGGGGAAUAUUGGGCAAUGAGCGCAAGCCUGACGCAGCAACACCGCGUGAAGGAAGAAGGCUUUCGGGUUGUAAACUUCUGUUGUCAGGGAAGAGUAGAAGCCGGUAGCUGACGAAUAAGCCACGGCUAACUAUGUGCCAGCAGCCGCGGUAAUACGUAGGUGGCAAGCGUGGUCCGGAUUUACUGGGUGUAAAGGGCGUGUAGCCGGGUUGACAAGUCCGAUGUGAAAUCCUGCGGCUUAACCCCAGAAUUGCAUUUGAAACUGUUGAGCUUGAGUACUGGAGAGGUAGACGGAAUUCCUAGUGUAGCGGUGAAAUGCGUAGAUAUUAGGAGGAACACCAGUGGCGAAGGCGGUCUGCUGGACAGCAACUGACGGUGAGGCGCGAAAGCGUGGGGAGCAAACAGGAUUAGAUACCCUUGUAGUC